rnacentral:rRNA from 1 species
ACGAAGGGGGCUAGCGUUGUCCGGAAUUAUUGGGCGUAAAGCGCGCGCAGGCGGUCCUUUAAGUCUGAUGUGAAAGCCCACGGCUCAACCGUGGAGGGUCAUUGGAAACUGGGGGACUUGAGUGCAGAAGAGGAAAGUGGAAUUCCACGUGUAGCGGUGAAAUGCAUAGAUAUGUCUCAGAACACCGAUUGCGAAGGCAGCUUACUAUGGUCCUAUUGACGCUGAGGCACGAAAGCGUGGGGAUCGAACAGGA